rnacentral:rRNA from 1 species
UACGUAGGGACCAAGCGUUGUUCGGAUUUACUGGGCGUAAAGGGCGCGUAGGCGGCGUGGUAAGUCACUUGUGAAAUCUCUGAGCUUAACUCAGAACGGCCAAGUGAUACUGCUGUGCUAGAGUGCAGAAGGGGCAAUCGGAAUUCUUGGUGUAGCGGUGAAAUGCGCAGAUAUCAGGAGGAACACCGGUGGCGAAGGCGGCAUCCUGGACCAACACUGACGCUGAGGAGCGAAAGCCAGGGGAGCAAACGGG